UACGGGGGAGGCAAGCGUUAUCCGGAAUCAUUGGGCGUAAAGCGUCCGUAGGUGGUUAACCAAGUCUUUUGUCAAAGCGCGGGGCUUAACUUCGUAACGGCAGGGGAAACUGGUGAACUAGAGUGCGGUAGGGGUAGAGGGAAUUCCCAGUGUAACGGUGAAAUGCGUAGAGAUUGGGUAGAACACCGGUGGCGAAAGCGCUCUACUGGGCCUGCACUGACACUGAGGGACGAAAGAUAGGGGAGCGAAAGGG
rnacentral:rRNA from 1 species